AGGGCACCACCAGGAGUGGAGCCUGCGGCUUAAUUUGACUCAACACGGGAAAACUUACCCGGCCCGGACACUGGAAGGAUUGACAGAUUGAGAGCUCUUUCCUGAUUCAGUGGGUGGUGGUGCAUGGCCGUUCUUAGUUGGUGGAGCGAUUUGUCUGGUUAAUUCCGAUAACGAACGAGACUCUAGCCUACUAAAUAGACUGUUCAGCUUUAUAGCCGGAAUCACCGGGCAUGUAGCUUUCGGGUUGCGUGUUCGGCUCUGGUGACGUUGGCAGUGCUUCUUAGAGGGACAGGCGGCGGUUCAGCCGCACGAAACAGAGCAAUAACAGGUCUGUGAUGCCCUUAGAUGUCCGGGGCUGCACGCGCGCUACACUGAAGUGAUCAGCGUGCAAUUUACGUUUGGUGAUCUGUCAAGAUUGCCCAACCCGUUGAACCUUCUUCGUGAUUGGGAUAGGGGAUUGUAAUUAUUCCCCUUGAACGAGGAAUUCCCAGUAAGCGCAAGUCAUAAGCUUGCGUCGAU
rnacentral:rRNA from 1 species